rnacentral:rRNA from 1 species
UACGUAGGGUGCAAGCGUUAAUCGGAAUUACUGGGCGUAAAGCGUGCGCAGGCGGUUUUGUAAGUCUGACGUGAAAUCCCCGAGCUUAACUUGGGAAUUGCGUUGGAGACUGCAAGGCUGGAGUCUGGCAGAGGGGGGUAGAAUUCCACGUGUAGCAGUGAAAUGCGUAGAGAUGUGGAGGAACACCGAUGGCGAAGGCAGCCCCCUGGGUCAAGAUUGACGCUCAUGCACGAAAGCGUGGGGAGCAAACAGG